AACGAACGCUGGCGGCGUGCUUAACACAUGCAAGUCGUACGAGAAACACAUCCUUCGGGGUGUGAAGUAAAGUGGCGCACGGGUGAGUAACACGUGGGUAACCUACCCCCGGGCUCGGGAUAACUGGCCGAAAGGCCCGCUAAUACCGAAUAAGACCACAUGAGCUACGGCUCAAGGGGUCAAAGACGGCCAAUCAACGAAGCCGUCACCUGAGGAUGGGCCCGCGGACCAUUAGCUAGUUGGUGAGGUAACGGCCCACCAAGGCUGAGAUGGUUAGCUGGUCUGAGAGGAUGACCAGCCACACUGGAACUGAGACACGGUCCAGACUCCUACGGGAGGCUG
rnacentral:rRNA from 1 species